rnacentral:rRNA from 1 species
UGGGGGAUUUUGGACAAUGGGCGAAAGCCUGAUCCAGCAAUGCCGCGUGUGUGAAGAAGGCCUUCGGGUUGUAAAGCACUUUUGUCCGGAAAGAAAUCCUUGGCUCUAAUACAGUCGGGGGAUGACGGUACCGGAAGAAUAAGCACCGGCUAACUACGUGCCAGCAGCCGCGGUAAUACGUAGGGUGCAAGCGUUAAUCGGAAUUACUGGGCGUAAAGCGUGCGCAGGCGGUUUGCUAAGACCGAUGUGAAAUCCCCGGGCUCAACCUGGGAACUGCAUUGGUGACUGGCAGGCUAGAGUAUGGCAGAGGGGGGUAGAAUUCCACGUGUAGCAGUGAAAUGCGUAGAGAUGUGGAGGAAUACCGAUGGCGAAGGCAGCCCCCUGGGCCAAUACUGACGCUCAUGCACGAAAGCGUGGGGAGCAAACAGGAUUAGAUACCCUGGUAGUCCACGCCCUAAACGAUGUCAACUAGUUGUUGGGGAUUCAUUUCCUUAGUAACGUAGCUAACGCGUGAAGUUGACCGCCUGGGGAGUACGGUCGCAAGAUUAAAACUUAAAUGAAUUGACGGGGUCAUAGCUGUUUCCU